rnacentral:lncRNA from 1 species
GAGAAAUCAGAAACUAAUAGCCAUUCGUUACUAAAUUAGGGUGUUAGGCAUAAUUCACACAUGGCUGCUCCAUUAGUUAUUUCAGUCAUGCUAUCAAACAAAUGGCAAUGAUAAUAAUGAUCAUCUAAGCUCAUGAGAAAUCAAUACUAACCAAGAUUAAUAGAAUGUAAACAAUAGCCCCAUUCACAACUUUAAAUGAGCCUAAAAUGUUCAUAGUACAUCAUCGAUUGAUAUACCUAAACAGAGAGACCAAAUGAACUAAUCAACUAAAAAAAGAAAUAGAGUAAGAGUAGAUGGAUCUCAAACCAAUGGUCCAAACUAGAACUACAAAUGAACAAUGAUUUAAACUAUAUAAAAACCACCAAUAAAAGUAGUAAAAUCAAAUUCAUAGAUAGAAAGCUAGAAACAUGUUGGGGCUUUAGGAUUCCCAUCUUUAUUCAUCAAAUCAGUCUGCACAAGAAAUGGAAUGUGAACAUGUACCUGAAAUGACAUAGUAGCAAAACCAAACAGGAUCAGCCAGCUAUCAGCUUAAUAACACAGCAACAGAUUCGAGUAACAACCAACAAAACCCAAACAGAAGAUCAAUGGAACAGUGCAAGUUUAAAUAGACUGAAUACCAGAGGAAAUGCAAUUCAAAAGAUCAUGUAACAAACUUCAGACACACCCAUACCAGCACACGCACAAUCUGACUCUAUGACCAAGACUCAAACCAUAUUAAGAUCCAGACAAAGAACAAAACCAGCAGAGGAUGAAAAUCUCAGCUUAUAAGGCAAAAUAUUAAUGCAACAGUAACUCUAGCCUAUAUUUCUGAAAUUUUCUUAUCUAAAAUCCCAACUCUAAUUCAUUUUUCCCAUCAGUUAAAUCAAACUUGCUUUGGAAUUGAGAGGAAUUCGAGACUGAAAAAAAAUGAGAAUCUCAUCCUUUUUUGGAGUUCUGGAGUUUCAGGUUUCUAAUCCCUUUUUUCGGGCCUUGGAAGGCAAGAGUGCCUUUAUAGGCCAGUCCUUUAGGGCAGACAUCUGGAUCAAUUUACCCCAUUCUCCCCUUUACCCAUGAUUUUUCUAAGCUAUUUUACUCUCUUACCCCCUCCCAAAAAAUCUGACUAUUCCCUCCUCAUUUACAUUCCAUUCAGACCUUAUCCGCUAGAACCUUCCUCCCAACAGAAAUUAUUCCCUAUGUUAAAUCCCUAGAAAACCCUCCCAAUUCCCGGUUAAUUACAUAGCUAGCCAAACAGACUUGGGCCCUAAAACCUAGUCACCUUUGAUUUCGGAUCACAAAUGACUCAAGGGGCCCUGAACCAAUUAUAAGAUAGCCUAGAAAAUCCAGUCAACUCAAAUUCGACCCAGGCCCUCAACAAAACCAAACAAUAGUGACACCGAUGAGCAAUUUUCCCAAAUCGAUCUAUUACCUAAUCAUUCAUGGAUUAACCAAAAGAUAAAAAAUAAUAAUAACCAAAUUAAAUAGUCGAAAACGGCUCUAAACUAUAUACCAACUCAUGAACCAGUUCAAUCUAUUUAAACUUGUUACUAGUCAAUGGAAGCUAAAUGAAAGAAAAUAAGAAGAAAAGAAAGAAAUAUGGAGAAGACGAAGGACAAAAACUAAACCUAAUAUAAAGAAAUGAUAGAGAUGGAAAUGAAAUACCCCAAAUGGGUGGCCCGAUAACUAGCUUGAAAAAGGUCUGAUGUUCUCUGAUUUGGAUCGGAACGAGAUUUACUCAAACAUUCUCAUGUGAAAACAUAGGCGUAGCACUCCUUCUGACUCCAAAUCUUCAUCAUGGCAUCUGAAAUUUGCUUUGGAGACUUCAGGCUAACCUCUCCGAACCAAGAUUUGAAUGAUUCUGCAGUCAUUUGAAAGUGGUAAUCAUGGGAUUCAGUAUGGGGAAGGGCUGACGGUUAAUUGGUGCCAAUCCGGUGGUGGUUUGCGACGGCUACCAGUGACUAUGGUAAUUUUCAGUGCUAGAAGAGACGGAGAAGAUGAUGGAUUUUGAGAACCGGUCUGUCUCUUCCAAUUUCGG